CUUGCCAACAGCAACACCUCUGGCAGAUCUUUCUGCUCUGAAGGCUGCUCCAAAUGACUACCAGCAGCUCCUGACUUCUACACCCCUGGACUCUCAAUAGGUUCUAAAAUACUGAAUUUAAAGGACUUCAAGCCCAAAUGCCUUUCAAAAAACGCUGCUGGAGUCCCUCAGUGGAUACAGGAUAUGUUAGAGUCCUAGCAGCGCUGCUCCAGGCCAGCUCUCAAGGGGCUUCCUACGAAGACCUUUAGCACCAGUUAUGAUGCCACCCUAUUUUGUCAAAGUCCUCUGUGCCACCAUUGGCUACUGGUCCAAGAUAGGAACGAACUCUUCCAGUGAACAGAGCUCCUGUCCUCCCUACAAAUUGUCUCCCGAAGGUCGCAGGAGAAAUCAAGCAACUCCUUCCCCCAAAUAGCCAGGUCUAGGGGACUGCAGUGUUGGCUGAUGUCCCCACCGGCUUCCUCCCCCCCACCGUCACCACAUCCUGAUAUUGUGGCAUCCAUGUAAACAGGGUUCUGGGAAAUGCCACAGACCUCCCAGAUUGCCUUAACAUAAAUAUGUCCACUUACCCUAUAAACCUGGGUUAAAAGCUACGGACCAAAACAGUCUGCACUGGAAUUUGUCAGCCCAAAUGAGGGGUCAAGUGUAAAAACAAACAAACAAAAUGGGAAAGAAUCAGUCUUAAUGUUAUGGAAAACACUUCCUAAGCUUUCGAAUUUAAUGUCAUUUUCAGUUUGUGACGAUUCCUACCCAGAGAGUAUAACAAAUACUCAGCAAUGAUGACACAGCUGAGCAAGAAUUUAAUGCGGGAGGAAUUCAGAUUGGGAUGAAAAAUGAGUUGGGCAUAUUCACAUUAAAAAAAAAUCCCUCUGGAAGGAUAUAAAAGAACAUUUUUAAAUAAUUAAAAGAAUAACAUUUAAUUUUUAAAUUUUUUUCUGAUGCUUAAGGUUUCAAUAAAGG
rnacentral:lncRNA from 1 species